rnacentral:miRNA from 14 species
UGUGUGUAUGUGAUGUGUGUAUGUACAUGUGUGUAUAUGAAGAAGCAUAUACAUACACACAUACACACACACACAGGCAUACACACACACAGACA